GCUCCCUAGUGGUCCCACAGCUGCGGCCGCCGCCUUCUUCCCCCAUGAUGGAGAAUGUUGGCGUGUACAGAUUCUGUGGGUGUGCAGCAAAGAGCAAAGUCAAGUGUGAUUCAAGGUGGGAAAUACCAGCUUCAGUUGCCAACACCCAAGCAGCGCGAAUUGUGGACCUGAGCGCAGUUCACGGGCCGCACCACAAGAGGGCAGUGUUUGCAGGACAUUUUGCGCCUGGCCGCCUCCCGCGGCUCGCCAGGGACUAGAAUUUUGCAGGAUGUCCUCUCUGCGCGGCCAGAGCAGAGCCGAGAUGCAUGUCCUGUGGCUUCCAGUUUGAGCCGUGACACAUGUUCUUCCGUCAACGGGGGUGCGUGCGUGCGGGUGGCACUAGGGAGGCAUCUGUCUGCGGCCCCGCCCUCUCCAAGCCGCCCCCACAGCCUUCCUACCCGACCUGCCCUCGGGUCGGGUCACGGAACCCACCCACCCAGUCUAGGCCCAGCCGGCUUCUGCCCCGGGGGCUGACCUGAGCCAGAGGGAACGGGAUAUCCCCUCACCCCCCUCAACAGCCGCCCCCUGCGAUGCCGAUUUGGAGCUCCGGCAGCGCCCCACCCGCCCAGCCACAUUCUGACCGGGUCCCUCGGGUCUUAAUUCCCCAUACGAGGUAGCUGCCCUGGUCUUCCCUUCCCUCCUCCUCUCUUUCACCUUCUUAAAAAAAAAAAAAAAUUUUUUUUUUUGAAAAAGCAAUGCAUAUUCAUGACAAAAAUUCAAAUAACCCAAAAGGAGGAGCUGAUGAAAAGCAGGUCUCCCCUCCCUUCCGAGCUUCCCAGUUUUCUCCCCUCAGGCCAUAAAGGCUAAGAGGUUUUAGCCACAGCCUCUUCCCAGAGGUUCCGGGUGCCUAUGCAGAUACAGAUGAGCAAGCAGGUGUUCAAAACCACCUUGGCCCCUGGUUCGCUUUUACUAGGCUCGGGAAACCCUUCCGCGUCGGUUCAGGUGCAGCUGCCCGGGUACUUUCUUCACUGGCUUUCGGAGCAUUCUAUUGUGUGGAUGCACCAUGCUUGCUUUAACCAUCCCUCCUGGGGGACGCGUGGGCCCUUUCCAGUCUCUUGCUCUCGGGAGCGGAGGGCAGGGACUAAUGUCGCAGGCCCAGCUUUAAGCACAGGUGUAAAAUCCAAAUGCACUGACUUCUCAGAAGUGGAGUGGCCGGGCGGAGGGCGCAGAUGGGCUGAGCUUUCAUAGUCGUUGCCGUAUCGCCCUUCAAAGACGUUUUGAACCCUUCUACGUGGAUCUAAUCCCAGCGUGAGUGCCCUUUGUCAGUUACUGGUUCUGGUUACUGGUACUGGUACUGGUUCUGGUUACUGGUUCUCAGUCUUGACCGAGGUCAGAAUUACCUGGGGAAGCUUUCUAAAAAUGCCAGUUCCUAGGCUGUAUCCCAUAUCCCAGCCUGAUUAAAUCAGAAUGUGACAGUUUUGUGUGUGUGUGUGUGUGUGUGUGUGUGUGUGUGUGUGUUGGGGGCUGCUGGUUAAGGGGAAGGGGACUGGCGUCGGCACUUACAACAUUUCCCCCCCAAGAUUCUACUGGGCAGGCAGGGGUGAAUGACGCUAUGAUACGUGGAAAACACCUCGUGGAUUUACGCGUAUAUUCCUUUAAUUAUGAAAGGAAGACGAACAUUCUUCUUUGAGAACAGUGCUUUAGACUUUUCUUGAAUCGCAGACCCUUUGGAGGUUCCGAACAAAAUCAAUGGAUCUUCUAUCCAGAAAAAAAAAAAAGUGCAUGCGUGUUGGUCUCAAUUUAAGUGAUCCUAGACCCUUUGGAGCUCCUCCUCAGGCCUCCUGGGACCCUGAGCCUCAGGUUAAGGACAGGCCCAGAAAAUUGUUCCUCCCAGACUCUUUCACUGCGCUCCAGGCCUUGUGUGCUCUCCCUGAAGCCCCACCCGAACCUAACCCCUGUGCCCCUCCUGCUGAGAUCUGCCAGGAGCCUCUGCUCCAAAACCGUGUCUGUGUACCCGCAGAAUAGCCCAGGUCCUCCUGGUGGGGCUUCCCUGAUGCCCACCUCUGAGAGGAGCUGCAGGGAGCUCACAGGGACCCACAGCAUGAGGUGCCUGUGCUCAGAGAGCUCACAGUUGGCAGAGGAUUCUGCUGUGUGGCAGGGGCUGUGGGAUGGGGCCGACGUGGUGCUGUGGAGCACAGUCGACUCAGGUGGGAGCACAGACUGAGGAGAAGGGUGGCCGGGGCCUCCCUGGGGGCAGGUCCUGGGCCGGAGCUGGCAGGGACAGGAUGGGAAGGUGCCACGGGUGUGAGGGAGCUCGUCACCUGCCGAGGAGCUAAGCGCCAGGAAGGUGUGGACACACAGGGAGUUGCCAGUUGUUUGGGGGUGGGAUGUAGGGGAGAAGCGAGUCAGGGGAGAUAGGAAAGGGCGCGUGGCAGGGCAGACGGAUUUCAGGGCAGGGGUGUGCCGUUAGCCCAUUCGCUCUGUGGGAGUCCAGGCGGGCGGAUGGCAAGGAAAGGGCUGAUUCUGGGGUGUUAGGGCAGCAGGGCUCAGCAGGGGAGCAGGGGCGGUGGGUCACAGGUAACCGGCUUAGGCUGGAGGGUGGUGAGGACCACGGCCAGGGAGGGACGACAGUGCUCAGUGGGCAGGUGUGUGUGUGUGCGCGCAGGGGCGAGGAGAG